rnacentral:rRNA from 1 species
AUUGAACGCUGGCGGCAUGCCUUACACAUGCAAGUCGAACGGCAGCACGGGUGCUUGCACCUGGUGGCGAGUGGCGAACGGGUGAGUAAAGCAUCGGAACGUACCGUGUAGUGGGGAUAACGUAGCGAAAGUUACGCUAAUACCGCAUACGCACUGAGGUGGAAAGCAGGGGAUCGCAAGACCUUGCGCUAUACGAGCGGCCGAUGUCAGAUUAGCUAGUUGGUAGGGUAAAGGCCUACCAAGGCGACGAUCUGUAGCGGGUCUGAGAGGAUGAUCCGCCACACUGGGACUGAGACACGGCCCAGACUCCUACGGGAGGCAGCAGUGGGGAAUUUUGGACAAUGGGCGAAAGCCUGAUCCAGCCAUGCCGCGUGAGUGAAGAAGGCCUUCGGGUUGUAAAGCUCUUUCGGCUGGGAAGAAAUCGCACAGGCUAAUACUCUGUGUGGAUGACGGUACCAGCACAAGAAGCACCGGCUAACUACGUG